rnacentral:rRNA from 1 species
UGAGUGCGAGCGGCUACGGUCGCGAAGUGGGUGAUGUCAAGCUUCCAAGAAAAGCCCUAUACCCGUUAAGGCAUGAUGGCCUGUACCCGAAACCGACACAGGUGGGGUGGUAGAGAAUACCGAGGGGCGCGAGGUAACUCUCUCUAAGGAACUCGGCAAAAUGGCCCCGUAACUUCGGGAGAAGGGGUGCCACCGCAAGGUGGUCGCAGUGAAGAGGCCCAGGCGACUGUUUACCAAAAACACAGGUCUCCGCUAAGUCGCAAGACGAUGUAUGGGGGCUGACGCCUGCCCAGUGCCGGAAGGUUAAGGAAGCUGGUCAGCGCAAGCGAAGCUGGCGACUGAAGCCCCGGUGAACGGCGGCCGUAACAAUAACGGUCCUAAGGUAGCGAAAUUCCUUGUCGGGUAAGUUCCGACCCGCACGAAAGGCGUAACGAUCUGGGCGCUGUCUCGGAGAGAGGCUCGGCGAAAUAGAAUUGUCUGUGAAGAUGCGGACUACGUGCACCCGGACAGAAAGACCCUAUGAAGCUUUACUGUAGCUUGGUAUUGUGCCCGGGCUCUGAAUGCGCAGGAUAGGUGGGAGGCUUUGAUCCAUGGCUUGCGGGUCAUGGUGAGCCAACGGUGAGAUACCACUCUUUCAGAGCUAGGGUUCUAACGGUCACCCGUCAUCCGGGGACCGGACAGUAUCAGGUGGGCAGUUUGACUGGGGCGGUCGCCUCCUAAAAGGUAACGGAGGCGCGCAAAGGUUUGCUCAGGCUGGUUGGAAAUCAGCCGACGAGUGCAAAAGCAGAAGCAAGCUUGACUGUGAGACCUACAAGUCGAACAGGGACGAAAGUCGGCUUUAGUGAUCCGACGGUUCUGAGUGGAAGGGCCGUCGCUCAACGGAUAAAAGUUACUCUAAGGAUAACAGGCUGAUCUCCCCCAAGAGUUCACAUCGACGGGGAGGUUUGGCACCUCGAUGUCGGCUCAUCGCAACCUGGGGCUGAAGUCGGUCCCAAGGGUUGGGCUGUUCGCCCAUUAAAGCGGUACGCGAGCUGGGUUCAGAACGUCGUGAGACAGUUCGGUCCAUAUCCGGUGCACGCGCAGGAACAUUGAGAGGAUUUCUCCCUAGUACGAGAGGACCGGGAGGAACGCACCUCUGGUGUGCCAGUUAUCGUGCCAACGGUAAACGCUGGGUAGCCAUGUGCGGAGUGGAUAACCGCUGAAAGCAUCUAAGUGGGAAGCCCACCUCAAGAUGAGUGUUCCCAUGGCAUAAGCCAGUAAGGUCACGGGAAGAACACCCGUUGAUAGGCUCUACGUGGAAGCCGGGUAACCGGUGAAGCGGAGGAGUACUAAUAGACCGAGGGCUUGACC